rnacentral:ncRNA from 1 species
UAAAAGUUUUAUUUUGGCUAAAAGAUUUAUUUUUUUUUUAUUUUAUAUGUAAAUUUAUGUAUGAAUUAUUAGUAUUCUUAAUGAAUUUUAAUUAUUUAUAUUCGCAGUAUUUGAUUUUAAUAAUUAAAGAAAUUUUGAAUUAGUAAUAAAAAAUAGUAUAGGUAAAUUUUGUGCCAGCAUCCGCGGUUAUACAAAAUAUACAAAUGAAUUUUAUUAUUUUAUAGUUAGAUUGUUAUUAUAAUUGAAAAUUUUUUUAAUAAGGUGAAAUUUUUAAUAAAAUUAAAAUUAUUUAAAAAUUUAUUGAAGCUGUUAAAUUUUAAAUUUAAACUAGGAUUAGAUACCCUAUUAUUUUAAAAGUAAAUUUAUAAAUUAGGUAGUAAUAGUUAAAUUCUUGAAACUUAAAAAAUUUGGCGGUAUUUUAAUCUAUUUAGAGGAACCUGUCCUAUGAUCGAUAAUCCACGAUAAAUUUUACAUAAUUUAUUAGUUUAUAUAUCGUCGUUAUUCAGAAAAUUUUAUAAGAAUUUUAAUUUUCUUAAAUUUUUAUUAAAAUUUAUUUCAGAUCAAGGUGUAGCUUAUAAUUAUGAAGAGAUGGGUUACAAUAAAUUUAUUUAUAUGAAUAAUAAAAAGAAUUUUUUAUUUGAAGGUGGAUUUAAAAGUAAUUUAAAUUAUGUAAUUUAAUUGAUUUUAGCUCUAAAAUAUGCACAUAUCGCCCGUCGCUCUCUUUAAGUUUUAAAAAGAGAUAAGUCGUAACAAAGUAGGUGUACUGGAAAGUGUACCUAGAAUGAC